UCCUUUCCUUUCUUUUCUUGAGACGGGGACUCACGUAUCACAGGCUGGCCUCAAACUCUAUCUAAGUGGAAGAGAAUGUGACGUUAUGCUCAGUCUCAUUAGUUCCUAAUGGGAUGUGACAACGCAUUUGCAAUGUGUGGUCAGAGUUCCUUCCUGCUAGCCGAUUAUGGCGAUGACCUACAUUCUCCUCUCACUGACAGAGCAGCACACUCACCUCGAAAGCUGGUGACUGUCUAGAAAGGCUGCAGUCAGAGCAUACAGCACCCAGCCGUGAGCUCUAAAGAAUUCCUGAAUGACCAGGCCAGUCUACAGACACGGUGUAAGGAGUAAAUGCUAACAGUUACCACACAGCUGCUUGUGCAAACUAUAGACGAUAGAGUCUGGAGUUCGGCAGACCAGCCAAAACGCCACGGUUGCCUCCUGAUGACCUACAUCUGCUCUCUGCCUGGAGCCAAUAAUGCAAGCAGUAUUUUCACCACGAAGCAUCUAGAGAGAAAAGAUUUCACAACUUCCUAGAGCACAUUCAAGCUCCCACUGUGUCCUCUGGCGCCAUCGAUAAAUCCCUCUUAUUUGUCUGACUUCAGCCUGCGCUCCACAGAGGUGGGUAUAACUCUCCCUCCCUGCCCUUCCUGUUGUAUAUGACUGUGAAGUCACAGCUGGCAUGGGGUUUCCAAAAACAUCACAGCCCAGCAAAAUGGCUGGGAGAGUAGACCCUUGCUGCCAAGCUAGUUGACCUGAGUUUGUUCCCUGGGAACCAUGUGAUGAAAGAAAAUAUAAAACUGACUACUAAGGGUUGUUCUCUGACCACCACAUGCAUACUGUGGUACACAUGUGUGCACACAUUCGCAGAGUAAGUAAAUAAUUGUAACUAAAAUUUGAAAUGUAAUGACCAGAGGUGUUUCCUCAUGCCUGCAAUUCCAGCACCCAGGAGGCUGAGGCAGGAGGAUUGUUAAGAGGUUAAAUUUAGCUUGGGCUUACAUACAUAUUGAGUUUAACGCACGUCUCGGCAACUUUUUAAGACACUGAAAAAACACUGUGAAAAUCAUGAAGAUGUAUUUGCAAAUGAGAUAAAGAGGGCUAAUGCUGGUAACUUAACUGUAUGAAAAUACUGUUUACAUAUGUGUUGUCCUCAGAUGUGCACAGAUAAGCUCUGACAUCUGUAAGUACUUAGGCAGAACACAAACGAAUGAACAAACAAACAAACAAACAAAAACUACCAGUUUUGUUUUGUUUUUGUUUUGUUAAGAAAUUUACUUAGCACUUUAAAAUUUUAGCUAGACUUUUAACUGAAACAAAAUCUUAAAAAGAUUACACAUUCUUAUUGGACACACUGGGGUAGGUGUACAUUGUGUGUUCAAUGAAUAAGUAAACACAUUUGUGCCCUCAAAUGCUUGUCAUUUCUUGGGAAGCAUUCAAAGUCUCUCUCAUAGGUUUUGAGAGUAUGGUACAUUGUGUCUCUCUGUGGUUGCCUGACGUGCAAUACCAGAGUGUCUGAUUCCUAUCUAACUCAGUCCCCACUGAUCAUCCUUUUCCUCCUCCCUCAUGUCCCCAGUCUCCUGUCACUACCAUCCCACUCCCGAUCUCUAUGGCAUCCACUGACUUUCUGAUAUUCUCUGUGAGGGAGCCACACAGUCCCAUCUCUCUGUGCCCAACAGUUUCAUUUAGCUUAACUGCUUGCAGUUUCAUACACGCUGCAAAUCACGGGGUUUUAUUCUUCUUUUUAUGGCCAAACAGAAGUCCAUUGUGAUUGCUUACCACAUUUUCUUUAACUAUUCCUCCACUGAUAGACAUGAAGUUUGUUUCUGUUUCUUGGCUAUUGUAGACUUUGCAUUGUUUAUGCUCCCUGGAGCUGACAGAAUACUGCGCUCCUGGACAUGCUAUAAUCAUAAGAGUGAACACUGUGGUCAGGAAAAGGUCCAGGCUUAGCUCUUUUCCUCUAAAGUCAUAACUUCAGAGAAGCAUUCAGAGUAAUGUUUAGACAAAAAUCUGAAACCAAGGUCUAUCCACAUUAGUGCAGAAUACUAGUCACCACACAGUAUAAAGCAUUACCCCGUGGAAAUGAGAUUUUAUGAAUUUGUGGUGAAUUUUAUGUUGCAGUGAUUGUCAUACUUUUUGGUGUUUUGUGAUGGAUUUUGUGACUGUGAGACUGUUUUUGCCUUCCUCUCCUUCAUGAAGAAUCCUUGGGGAUUAUUUGCUGCAGAACUGAAGUAAACCCAAGAGAAGAAUGUUAGCAAAAUCCACAGGGAAUAUAGUGAGAUCACCUCUGGAUUUUAAAAUAGAUAUUCUGAAAUAUUGUAAAUAAAAGUUUGAACAU
ensembl:lincRNA Gm30524 predicted gene, 30524